GCGCAGCAGGCGAGAAAUCUCUCCAAUGUGUGAAAACAUGAGAGGGGUAUUCCAAGUUCCCUUGUUAUGCAAGGGAUUUUCUUUGGUCCAAGACGCCAAAGGAAUAAGAGCUGGGUAAGACCGGUGCCAGCCGCCGCGGUAAACACCGGCGAGCUCCGAGGUGGUGGCCACGGUAUUAAGUUGGGCCUAAAGCGUUCGUAGCCGGGCAGGUAAGUGCUCUGGU
rnacentral:rRNA from 1 species